GAUCCAUUUUUGCAGCACUUGAAUUCAAAUGUUUUGGUGUUAUUUGGUGGUACUUGGUACUUGGCAUUUAGCUUCUUGUUUGUUCUUGCAUAUGGUGCCAAAGGAAAUGCAGCGGCUGAUCUUGAGGGAGGGAGUUUGCAGAGGGCUUGGCUGCCAUGCUGCUGUUUGAGACGUGGGCUUGCUGCCCCGGGCCCGACGGGCCGAUCCGACGUGGGCCGCAGUUUUGGGCUUGGGCAUAGAGGCCCGAAGUGCAACUAAUAUGAGAUUUUGUUCUUCUUAAACUCUUUGGCCCAUCCAAGAGUAUUUGUAAUAGAAUAGUGUUCCGCAUGUUUCCUUCUAUUCGUGAAUCGCGCGUGAAACGAUCAUAUAGAGAUUAAUGUACUUUGUUUUCGAGCACUAUCAGCUCGAGAUAAAUAUCAUCGUUUUCCUUUCACUA